GUAGUAACCAAUAAUAAUUAUUAUGAAUAUUGGAACUUUGAAUUUAAAUUUGCUAAAUGUUUAUUAUGUUUUCAAAUAGUUACAUUACUUACAUUGCAGUUAAAUAAUAUCAAGCAUGAAUACUGUAAGUUCCUAUCAAAAAUAUUAUAUUGGCAAAAUUAUUCAAGAGUGAAACACUAAAUAUAAAAGUUGUACGUAAAGAAACCCUUCUGAGUAGGCAUUAUGGCCAUACAUAGUGGCCAUUUGAUUGUUUGAAAAAUGGUUUUCUACUACCUCGUAAAUAUUAUACAGCAACAAUACUUGAUGCUGUGGGUUUGUUGAAUGAUUCUGUUAGUUAACAUACAAUAAAGCGCAAAUGAAAAAGUUAAUGAUUAAAUUGUCAAUUAUAAGUGCCAAUUAGAGAAUAUGAAUCAUUGCUUGCACUUUUGUUAGGGAAAGCUUUUACAAAAUACGAUGUAACAUAAAUUAAAUUACAAAUCAAUGGCUUAAAUAAAAAAUGUUGCAGCUUUAUAAUGACAAUUUUACAAAAGAGCAGUUUCUAGUUCUUUCUAUACAUUUAUUAAUAGUACUUAGAACAUUUUUUAAUUAUUUCAAGCAAUUGAAAUAUGUACUAUUUUAUUUGUUACUUUUUUUCCAAAAUAGAUCAUUUUUAUUCUUUAUCAGAUUGGGGAUGACAGACCUUUUAUAAUAAUUUGUUGCCAUUGUUACCCAUACAUCGUAGUUGACAAUAUAAUAAAAAUAUUUUCAAUACCGGUUAACUGUUUUGAUUCUAUCGGUCCUAGCAACCUAGAAAUUUACUGUGGUCCAAGUGUAAUUUUCUCUAUUUUUUUAGUUUUUUCUUAAUAAAAAAAAGUUUGACCUAAGAUUUUUAAGAAAAUUGUAUACAAUAUAGCCUCAUUCUAGAUCUAUCUAGGUCAAUUUGAUAAUUUUUAAAAGUUAUAGAGCACUGUAUUUUUAAGUUGAAAAAUAUGUAAAUUUUUUAGCCGUUUUUCACUAUUUUAAAGGGUGAGGGAAAACAUUUUAAAAUGUCGGACCAACGAAGUAUGUUUUGGAGACAAUUUAUUAUUCAUAGAGUUACUACAUGAAGAAAUUAUUUUAGCGGUUUAUAAGAUGUAGAUAUCUAGACACAAAAAAGUAACAACACAUCAUUGUAAAAACAAUAACUUCUCAGCUUCCCAUCGAAGCUAAAGCAAUAUUUCGCUUGUUAUUUGGCAAUUUAUGUUUAAUUUUUAUUUUUUUAGAUUGACGUCUGCAUCAUAUCAAAAAGGCGUAUCAAUACACUUCUUACAUUAACUGGCUACAACGAAGAAUAAUGACAAUAUUGGUUAUUUUAUUUAAUGUUUUUUUUUUUUUAUC